CCCCUUUGUGUCUCUCCUAGAGCUGCAGCUCUCCCAGAAUACUGCAAAACACCCACAACAGUUGCUAGUGAACUCCUGAAUCCUGGAGCAAAGAAUUCCUCUGCCCAGCCUGCAUCUGUAGCUGUGGAAAAGGUUUUGGAGAUGGUGACAACCUAUUACAAGCCAGAGAACCCCGAAGAGAGAGCUGAAGACAAACUCCUUGCAUUUGAGUUACUAAUUGUGCGGAAGACAGACAAGUAUUUAUUAGCAUUUGAUGAGAAACAACGCAGGCAGCAGUCAUCGAAGGGAUGACCAGAUCAGGGCAGAGACGUUCCCCAAUUGGUUUGCGGAGGCCUCACAGGUUGGGUUUCGUUUGAGCCGAGAAGGAGUUUUCAAGUGCAAAUGCUAAAGAAAUCAUAACAAUGUCUUAGAUUCAACAAUUUUGCUAGGUUGAGGGACCCAGGUGAAAUAAUACCCAAUAAGAGUACACACAGGGGAGGAGCUGUGUACAAGGGCAAGAGAAUGGGGACUGCUCCCAGAAUACAUGCCAUUUACCUGACUGCAUUCAGCUCAUACCGUGUGCACUACACCAUCUUCGUUCCUCAACAGCCCUGCGAUCUACGCACUUUCACCAUCACUUGCAUUUUAACAGAUGAGUAAACUGAGGCCCAAUCUGAAUAAGUAAGUUCCCCAAGAAUAAGAUGGUGGAGCCAAAUUCAAUUGAGGCAAUCGGAUACCAACCCCGAGGUCCUGCAGCAAGCCCCACAGUAUCUCCGGCAGCAGACGACAGACAGUGACUUCCUGUAAGGGGUUCCCGAAGGAUGACAAAGUGCAGACAGAUGGCAAAGGUAGCAAGGGGCAGCGACUGAUGAAGAGAGAAUGAGCUGGGCAGAGAACAGAGAGGGAGGGAAACCAUGAGAGACUCACCUAUGGGAAAGAAACUGGGGGUCACUGGAGGGGACGUGGCUGGGAGGAGGGGGUAACUGGGGGACGGGCAUGAAGGAGGGCACGUGAUGUGAUGAGCACUGGGUGGUAGAUGCAGCUGAUGAGUCACUGAAC
rnacentral:lncRNA from 12 species